rnacentral:rRNA from 1 species
CCUACGGGAGGCAGCAGUCGAGAAUCAUUCACAAUGGGGGAAACCCUGAUGGUGCGACGCCGCGUGGGGGAAUGAAGGUCUUCGGAUUGUAAACCCCUGUCAUGUGGGAGCAAAUUAAAAAGAUAGUACCACAAGAGGAAGAGACGGCUAACUCUGUGCCAGCAGCCGCGGUAAUACAGAGGUCUCAAGCGUUGUUCGGAAUCACUGGGCGUAAAGCGUGCGUAGGCUGUUUCGUAAGUCGUGUGUGAAAGGCCCGGGCUCAACCCGCGGACGGCACAUGAUACUGCGAGACUAGAGUAAUGGAGGGGGAACCGGAAUUCUCGGUGUAGCAGUGAAAUGCGUAGAUAUCGGGAGGAACACUCGUGGCGAAGGCGGGUUCCUGGACAUUAACUGACGCUGAGGCACGAAGGCCAGGGGAGCGAAAGGGAUUAGAUACCCGAGUAGUC